ACGCCCACUCCUCUCUCGGCCAGCGCCAUCUUUUCCCGGGUGCGGCACCCUCGGUCUUUCCCCUGCUUCUUCUCUUCUUUCGUCCUCCCACUGCACCCGAAUCAUGCCCCCCCGGUAGCCAGUCUCGGGGAUCAUCCACUAUAAUCGGUCUUUCCUUUUCUUCUGCCUCCUCCACUUUCACCUUGCUUUCUUUUCCUCUACCCGCCACUGGCUUUUUCAUAUCUCGGUCUCCACAAAGGUCUCCUGGUUCUCCUAGUUCUCCCCCUUCCAUCGUCCUCAUCUCUUUCCACGGAUACCGCGGCGGUGGCGGAGAAGAGGGCGUUAUUGGGAGCCGCCCGACGCAGUUCGCAACUGCAGCCGCUCUCAUAGAGAGCCCCCAUUCCCGGGCAUCCACGCGUACAGCCUUAACUACCGCGUCCAUGAUCCGGAUCCUCUCGACCGCCUGCGGUCCGCCGUCUCAGCUAUCACGUCGGGGUCACCACUUGUCGCCUUCUGAUGCGACAAUCUCCCGUUCGCCUGAGACGGCACGGAGGCUCCCCCUGCCUUCGGACCAAUGAGCACUGACACCAAUAUGAGGAUGCUACAAAUGGCGUUUAUUGCAAUAUAGUGACGGCUGAAGGUCACCAAGGAAAAUACAUCAAAUUCACGAUACUCAAGCCCAAUCAGUUCAUCUAAUUCUGAAGGAAGAUAUCUUUACCUUUUCGGAAAAUAGAGUUACAAUAGAUAACAGAGACCUGACUUGUUCAAAGGUAUCUGUAGUUGUUGCAUUCUGAUUAUAACAUGCAGACAAGUAAAAAUGUUCACAUCUUAGUUAAACUAGUUUUAACCACCCUCUUCGUUUUGACCAUAAAAUAAUACACUCUGGAUAAUCUAUUGAAGUGAGUAUACUCUGCACAUUUUAAGUGACAUAAAGCUAUUUCUUUAGGACAAUCUUGCCAUACACUAAUGUUCAAGAUACAGCCAUCUUAAAUAGUUGUGUAGCCAAGUGAAAUACACUGUGUAAUCAGCUUAAUGCAAUAUUCACAAAGGUCUGCAUUUUUAUAAAUAUUUGCCACAGAUAUAACUGUUACUAUUUUUUAAAUAAUAGAUUAAUGUAAAGUUAAACAACUCUAAAAAAAAAACAGACAGGAAAUUAAAAAUAUGUCUUAAAACAUUCACACACUAUAGAAUAUAUACAGAAUCUCAAUAGCUGUUCCCUUUUCUCCCCAAGCUGGAAAAGAACUUGUUUAAAACAAGUUGUGUGUUUACAGAUAAACUGCACAAAGCCAUGAAAGCCCUUUCAUUUUUUAUUAUUACAGCUGUAACAAACAGUCCUCCUUGCUUUUUAGCAUUGUUAUAUACAGAACUCACAUACACAUAGAGACUAACUCAAAAAAAAAUCACUUAAUAGCUGGUUCCUUGAUAUAAAUAUGAAAUAAAAGUAUGAUUCAGCACAUCCAAAAUAAGUCCUAAAAUGUUUUACUUUUCUUUCUAAAUUUGGUUCCUCAACCUCAUGAAGGUGAACUUUUAACUCUUUCAGAAAUUAAGAGCUGGAGAGAAAUACGCCAAAUAACUAAAAAUACGAAGACUGACCAAGUAUUUGAAAGGUGAAUUGCACCCUAAAAUGUUUAGCAGAGUUAGGAGAGAAAAUGGCAGAGGGAUGACAGCUAAUAGACUAGUUCCUAGGUUUUACUUUCUUUCACAUUAACAUGCACCUGUUAUGUAAAUGUGCACUAAACUUUAGUAAUGUAUCAAUUGCUUACAAAUAUCUUUAAAAAUGUGUUAUUUAUACCUUUCUAUUGUUCCAUCAUUGGUAUCUUAAGCAAGAAUGUAAUUAAUCUAUUCUAAAAUGUACUAAUUUUAUGAAAAUAUCUUAUUCUAAAAUUAAUCCCUCUUAUUAAAACUUUGGGUAAUAAACUGUAUUUGGAAUUGA